CCCCCCUCCCAAAACGACCACCCUCACCCAUGCAAACGGACUCAACCCUGCUGUUACAAACACUUUGACUUUUCUCGGUAAGGAGAGGGACUACACGGCACACUUUGGUGUUUUUGUGAGAAUAUUUGAGCAGGUUUUGGCGCCACAGGUACCUGUUCUGAAACUUUUCAGCUCGGAAACGCGCGCAUCUCUUCCCCUGCGAUAUCCAUUUCCUUCACCUUACCAUCGCGCGCACGCCAGGGGUGACUGUCAGGUAGUCAUGCUGUAGAAGUGUAUCGACAAGUGAAACAGCGGUGUGGAACUGAAGCUUGCGCUCCGCAUGAGUGGGACCAUGCAAGAACAACACAACAGAGGACUGAAGAAUCUGAGGCUGCUACUUCUGUGCCUCUCCAUCGCCAUCCUUGCCUCCGGAGUGCACGCGGUAAGUUUUCUCUCCCACGUGUUGUUGGUAU